CCUACGGGAGGCAGCAGUGAGGAAUAUUGGUCAAUGGACGAGAGUCUGAACCAGCCAAGUAGCGUGAAGGAUGACUGCCCUAUGGGUUGUAAACUUCGGUUAUAGGGGAAUAAAAUGUGCCACGUGUGGGAUUUUGUAUGUACCAUAUGAAUAAGGAUCGGCUAACUCCGUGCCAGCAGCCGCGGUAAGACGGAGGAUCCGAGCGUUAUCCGGAUUUAUUGGGUUUAAAGGGAGCGUAGGUGGCUUGUUAAGUCAGUUGUGCAAGUUUGCGGCUCAACCGUAAAAUUGCCGUUGAAACGGGCAGUCUUGAGUACCGUAGAGGUGGGCGGAAUUCGUGUUGUAGCGGU
rnacentral:rRNA from 1 species